AUUGAACGCUGGCGGCAGGCCUAACACAUGCAAGUCGAGCGAGCGGCGGACGGGUGAGUAAUGUCUGGUAAACUGCCUGAUGGAGGGGGAUAACUACUGGAAACGGUAGCUAAUACCGCAUACCAUCAGAUGUGCCCCGAUGGGCGUAGCUAGUAGGUGGGGUAAUGGCUCACCUAGGCGACGAUCCCUAGCUGGUCUGAGAGGAUGACCAUCCACACUGGAACUGAGAGACGGUCCAGACUCCUACGGGAGGCAGCAGGGGGGAAUAUUUAACAAGGGGCGCAAGCCUGAUGCAGCCAGGCCGCGGGUGGGAAGAAGGCCUUCGGGUUGGAAAGCACUUUCAGCGGGGAGGCGUUACCCGCAGAAGAAGCACCGGCUAACUCCGUGCCAGCAGCCGCGGUAAUAC
rnacentral:rRNA from 1 species